ACAUUGCAUACAAUUCAACCAUUCACAUAUUCUCAUUCACAUCCCGUGAUAAUAAAAUCUUGCCAGCGCGAAAAUUAAUCAAAACAAAACGGCGAAUUCCUUUUACAGGUGGUGGUGAUAUUGACCUCGAAACAAGCUUGACGAUCAUUCAGCAAGACGCUGGUGUUUCCCAGAGUCGUAGGAAUUCAGCAAGCCGGCAUCUGAUCUGAGUUUCAUGCGAUAUUAGUCAUCACUUGUCAGUUUGUCUUGCCUCAGUUAGUACGAAUUUUUCGUACGCUUCGUUAGGCAAACAUGAAUUUGAGUGGAGUUUUUUAUGGAUUCUUCCGAAUUGUUAUACCAGUGCUCGUGUACCUUAUGUGUUUUGUUGUUGUCUUCAAAAUUUGCUCAAAACUGUGCAAACGACGCAGAGCUGAGAGGCCAGUCUUGCUGCGCGUUUCUUCGGUCCCAUCGAACAUCAAUCUUGCACGACAAAUACCGCCAAGGCCAACUCCAGUGACCAUUCCGAGCGCUCCCCCAUUGGAGGUAGUCUCCUCGGGUGCAGAAGGGCACCGGCAGCCGCCUGCUGUGACCGAUUUAGAAGCACAGAAUCCACCGAGCUACGAGGAGGUGACAAGCGAUAGUUACAACCAGCAACUACCUGCUUAUCCUGGAUUCACCCGGUAGCGUGUUGCUGAUUUCGAUGAUUUUGAUGCAGUUGUCCGAUUCCAUGAAAUAGUAUUUUGGAUAAUUAUUGGAACAGUUGUAGGGUGCGUCUUUCUAUGCUUUAUAAUUUGCAUAAUUUUUGUCCAACGUUACAGACGCAACACUAAUCCGGGUACAAUCUACACCUCUCCAGUGGUCAUCACUUCACAGCAGCAUUAUCCCGCCGCUGGUUCCCCAAACGUGGUGGUCAAUCCGAUCGUUUAUGCGCCGCCAAACACCGGUUACCAGCCAAUGCAGAUGCAGCAGCAGCCACAGCAAUAUCUGCUGGCAACUGCCCCGCAAAUGGAGUUUGGCCAGAACACGCAGGGUCCUCCCAGCUACCAACAGGCCACCUACUUCCAACAUCAGGAGGCGUAUAAUCCAGAGUACAGAAAACAAUAGAUAAGUGGAGGAGACACCGCCGCAAAUGCACAGAAUAUUCGUCCAACGGGCGCCUUAGAAUCUCAGGGAUUUUGUACAGAACAUGUUUGUUUGAAGUUUGAUUUUAUCAGUUUUUUUGUAAGUUGCCAAAUUUAACUUAAAUAAUUUAAAAUGACAAAAUUUUAAUUAUUUAUAUAUGACACAAAAAAAAGAAGAAACAGCGGUUUAUGAUCAAUAUGUUUUAGGACCUUGGAACUUCAAAAUUAAAAUACUUUAGGAGAGUUUAUUCAGUUGACAAAUUUAAUAAAAAUUAGCAGAUCGAGGGUAUGCUUAAACAGUUGUUGUUUAAAAACCACCAAGUGGAAAUCAAGUGCUAUUCGCAGAAGUGUCAGAAUAAUACUCAAAGUGCAUUUAAAAUUAUACAUUCAUGUUUAAGGGAUUUACAUAAAUUUACAUUCUG